GAACAACAAAACCACCAAAAGAAAAAAGAAAAAAAAAGGCCAUCAACAAAAGGUCAUCAAUGCGACGUGCUUCCUUCCCCUCGAUGUCGAUCCAUUUUUUUUGUGCUUG
rnacentral:ribozyme from 14 species